rnacentral:tRNA from 2 species
UCCGGCAUGGUCUAGUGGUUAGGAUACCUGGCUCUCACCCAGGAGGCCCGGGUUCAAUUCCCGGUGUCGGAA